AGAGUUUGAUCCUGGCUCAGAAUGAACGCUGGCGGCACGCCUAACACAUGCAAGUCGAGCGCGAAAACUUCUUCGGGAGUUAGUAGAGCGGCGGACGGGUGAGUAACACGUGAAUUAUCUACCCUACAGUUGAGAAUACCUUCGGGAAACCGAAGUUAAUACUGAAUACGUCCCUCCGGGGAGAAAGGUGACUUUAUGUUGCCGCUGAAGGAUGAGUUUGCGGUCUAUUAGCUAGUUGGUGGGGUAAAGGCCUACCAAGGCGAUGAUGGAUAGCCGGCCUGAGAGGGUGUACGGCCACAUUGGGACUGAGACACGGCCCAGACUCCUACGGGAGGCAGCAGUGGGGAAUAUUGCGCAAUGGGCGAAAGCCUGACGCAGCGAUGCCGCGUGGAGGAUGAAGGUUUUCGGAUCGUAAACUCCUGUUAAGUGGGAAGAAAGCUUUAUUCGUAAUAUGUUUAAAGUAUGACGGUACCACUAGAGAAAGCACCGGCUAACUUCGUGCCAGCAGCCGCGGUAAUA
rnacentral:rRNA from 1 species